rnacentral:tRNA from 1 species
GGGGGUGUAGCUUAAUUGGUUAAAGACGUCAGCUUAUACCUGACCAAAGCCCUGGCCAGAUAAGCCAGAGUGUGUGGGUUCGAGUCCCACCACCCCCACCA